CUGUGCUUGGCUGAUAAGCCAAUGGUGCGAAGCUACCAUCUGAGGGAUUAUGACUGAACGCCUCUAAGUCAGAAUCCCGCCUGGAAAGCGACGAUGCAUUCGUGCCUCGGCCUCGAGAGGCGUAGCUAGACGGCCGCGUGGCCGUGGAAAGAGCCCGAUUCCGACCCGAGAGGCCGCGGCAAGAGGCGGCCUCGAAGUCGGUGGAUCCUCCUGCUCGAAAGGCGGGGUGCUAAACCAUUCGCAGACGACCUAGUUGAAGAUCGGGGUGUCGUGAUCACUAGAGCAGUACAUCUCACUGCGAUUUGUUGAGAGUAAGCCUCAAGAUCUGUCGGUUUGU
rfam:Ciona savignyi cont_50573, whole genome shotgun sequence.